rnacentral:rRNA from 1 species
GACGGAAGGUGGCAAGCGUUGCUCGGAAUCACUGGGCGUAAAGGGUGCGUAGGCGGCCGUGCAAGUCUGGCGUGAAAGCCCCGAGCUCAACUCGGGAACUGCGUCCGAUACUGGCGGGCUUGAAUCCGGGAGAGGGAUGGCGGAAUUCCAGGUGUAGCGGUGAAAUGCGUAGAUAAUCUGGAGGAACACCGGUGGCGAAGGCGGCAUCCUGGACCGGCAUUGACG